AACGAACGCUGGCGGCGUGCUUAACACAUGCAAGUCGAGCGGUAAGGCCCUUUCGGGGGUACGACGAGCGGCGAACGGGUGAGUAACACGUGGGUGACCUGCCCUCAGCUCUGGGAUAAGCCUGGGAAACCGGGUCUAAUACUGGAUAUGACUCCAUGACGCAUGUUGUGGGGUGGAAAGCCUUGUGCGGCUGAGGAUGGGCCCGCGGCCUAUCAGCUUGUUGGUGGGGUGAUGGCCUACCAAGGCGACGACGGGUAGCCGGCCUGAGAGGGCGACCGGCCACACUGGGACUGAGACACGGCCCAGACUCCUACGGGAGGCAGCAGUGAGGAAUAUUGCGCAAUGGGCGACAGCCUGACGCAGCGACGCCGCGUGGGGAGUGAAGGUCUUCGGAUUGUAAACCCCUUUCGGGAGGGAAGAUGGGACGAGCAAUCGUUCGGACGGUACCUCCAGAAGCAGCCACGGCUAAC
rnacentral:rRNA from 1 species